AACAAAAAGCACCAGGACUCAGUAUUUUCAUAACUUUUGGGACCUCUUGCAUGGAGAGGAAGGGGGAGAGAAGGUGGAUGCGGAGCAGCCACAGCCAGCGGGUUUGUGCCUGUCGAUUUACGCCUUGGAGCUUCUCUCACUGGGUGGACCUGAACAAGCCGGUGCUGCCAUGCCAGCUUUUCCAUGUGGGAGAAGUGUUCGCUCUGGCAGGUGUGAAAGCAGCUGGGGAGUCAGGGUGAGCGGGUGCCAAAAGACUGCUGGGGUCACAGACCGUCUGGGAUGCACACAGCAAGUUUGGUGCUAAAACUUUUCUAUGUUUCUGUGUUCAGAGACUGAAAACCCAAGGGAUCUUGAACUUCCUAGUCCUUUAAACUUGCAGAUCAGCAUGGAUACUGGAUGAAAUCUUAGCUGCUCUAUAAUUUCAAUGAAACCAGAGUUUUAAUUUGUAAGGGGUGAAUAAAACCAAGGAAAUAGUUGUGGUUUUGUGACUAUUAAAAGAGCAUUCAUUGUUUGACUUACAGGACUUCCUAAAUCUGUAAGAGUACAAGAACAGGAGGUUUUCUUUUACUUCUAGGCCGGAUAGUAUGCAGCAGACUGCAGAGAUCUAAACCCAUAGCUAACAAACAGCAUGCAUCUGAGGUAUUUCUCAUGUUCUUUUCUAAAAGUCUAUUUCAAUUUCCUCAUCCGCUCUUGCUACUUCUCCAGGUACUUUACAAAGUCAAAAAAAUAUUCUUUUUACAAACAUGUGUUCUACCUGAUUUCUCACUAUGCAUAUGAAGAUACAGCAUAUUUAGAAAAAUAUUAGGAAAAAAAUGUGUGAAAAAUAAAUGCUGUACAAUUUGAAAACACAUAUAUUUGAACAAAUGUUAAUAGAUUUUUUUCACAAUUUUUCAAAUUUUACUUUUGCCAUCUCUAAUUAGCUUUUCUAAAGAGCAGUUAUCUUUCUGUAAAAUGUUGAAAUGUGUUUAAAAAAUACAUUACUAAAGUAUGCUACUUUGCAUAAUAUUCCAUCAAAACAGUUCUCUGCUUUUUAAAUUGUUUGGUUCUUGCCAAAUGCCUGAAAACAACUUCAAGUUCAUCAGAGAAGAAAUUGUCACUGGUUUUUGGGAGUCGAUUUAAUGGAUUGCUUUGUGAGACACAUCUGAGAUUUCUUAAUUUCUGCACCUCAUGUUGAAAUAUAAAUAGGUAUUUUCUAAAUGUCCAGUGUAUUUCUAUGGAAGCACUUGUGCCAAAACUGACUAUUGUACUGCAAACAUCAUGAACCGCACCACAGUUUCAUCCAAAAAUUGAAGACCUGGCAUUUUGCCAUCCUGUGAAAGAGCAGAUUGAGGUUUUGCUAACAUUGCCUUGAGACUGAAAAAAUAUUAUACAAAGAAAUUUACCCUGAGUAUAACCUGAGCAAGUCUGGAGUUCUUGGUAUUUUGUUGUUCAUUCAUUGCACAGUCACUACUUGGUAUAAGUUAACAAAUAUAUAACACAAUGAAAUCACUCCAACACCCUGGGUUACAAGCCUAAUUCCUUCUAAAGCCACUGUAGAAACAAAACAUUGAAGCAGAACUGUGUAGUUUCUUUUCUUUAGCUUUAUGAGACCUGCACUUUUAAUUCAGGUCUGUGUUUGUGAAGAUGAAGUCUGUGAAACAGGACAGGGCUGCCCUGGUACCUCAUGACUCAUCUGAUUUCAAAAGGCAAGGAGCCCAGUGUAGUAACCACUAGUUCACUCAUGCUGUAUUUACUAACGUGUGGGAAUGCAUUAAUCUCAUAAAUAGAGUUGUCCAUUUUGUAGGAAACCAAAGAAUUAGCUGUAUAACUAGUCCAUCUCCAGUGCACCCAAUAGCCUUCUGGAAAACUCAAGCUGUAUUUCUAACCCUGUGAUUUUUUUAUUGCUCUCAAAUCAUUGCUAGACAAUGUCCUUCAUUUUAUGUUGUCCCAGGGACUUGGAAAGAGAUUCCAGUGAGAAAGUUUCUCCCCUUCCUACUAUUGAAAAUAUAAAAUCUAACUAUAGGGUUGAAGUAAAAAUAGUAGCAUAGCAAGCACCAUGAAUAUGGUCAUUCUCUGUGAAUGAAUGUAACUGUGUUUUCUUUAUGGCACAAGAGCAAGUGAGCAGUGUUUAGCGUCCUGUGUCCAUAAUGGCUACAUUUAUUCCUGUGUUGUGGGCUGCGUUACGUCAGGUGUUUGCAGGGAAAAGAAAGCCUUAAAAAUAAAAAAGAAGCUACAAAUAAAAAUGGUAAGUGCUGGCACAGAGCAAAAAGGAAAAAACCAUUUAGCUAUAGUAUUUUACAUCCCAGCAUGAAUCAUUUCAUAAAUUGCAGUUUUAACUAAAACUUGAAAAAUUCACAAAUUCUGUCCUUGGUCUCUGUAGUACAAAUUCAGAAUGAUCAUUUAUUGUCAAUGAAGCUGCAUUAAAAUAAAUAAAACACUUGCAUUAAAAUAAAUGAUUUGUAGUGGCCAACACGCUAGCAGGCCCAUUAAAUUUCCAACAACUCAUAAAGUUCCACUGGGAUCACAAAUGGAUUGUGGUGAAGUUCGUGUCUUUCUUUCUUUGUGGUGUCUGAGGUUUGGGAUUUUUUCAUUCCCUCAUGCCAUCAGUCACUGGGGUCAUAGAGAGCAGUGGCAGGCAGUGUGUGGACGCCAGACCACUGAUGGUUCAGCCACAACUGUGCCUCAUGUGGCUGUGUGCUCCGCCAGCUGUGGGAGAGGCAGCUGUCUUCAGGAACACUGGGUACUCCAUGGUUCAUUUGGUUUUUUCAGAAAGUCACACCCUGCUUUUCUGGGACCAUUUCCCUAAGCCCCGAGUCCUUUAAUAUGAGCAACACAGGUAUGCAGGGAUUACUUUAAGUGAGAAAAUAUGGGAAAUGAGAAAAGACUCUGGUUGACAGUGUGUCAGGGUUUGUCAAGUCUGGGGUUGCCAGUGACAUUAAGUCUGAAGGCUUUAUCAGCAUGCUAGGCUACACCUCAGCCACCUACUCAAGGAAAUCUUUUCAGCCUAGGUGGCCUAAUCUGCUAGCCUCUGGAUUUGCAGGUUUACAGAUUACCUCGAAGUGGCAUUAUGCCACAGGGUGAUUAUGUUGCUGAGGAGACUUCUCCAGAAGUUUCCUGGAAGGUGGUGAGUGUUCUGCUUUCAUCUCUCUGAGGUACAGCUCUUGGUAUAUGGAUGAAAUAGAGGAUUUGCACGGAUGAUCACUCAAACACACCAGUGAACAUUUCUGACCUACAGUAUAUCUUUUUCUACCUUCUGGUGUUUCAAGACAAGAUUUUCACGCUCAAAAGCCUUGCAAUAUUUAUACUACAUUUGAGCAAACAAAACCAUAACAUUUUCCACAUUAUCAGAAAGGUAGAGCUGGGACUAAAAGGUCUGCUCAGUGCAUCUUAUUGAAGCAUUAUGGAUAAAAAAAUAGAGAACAAGGCAGAAAAUAGAAGCAAAAGUAAUUGUAAUUAUAUCAUUCAACCUCACAGUAUGUUCUUACCAUGCCUCUCUAUCUCCUUAUAUUGACAGUCAAUGGUUUAUUUUUGCAGAUAACAACCUGUUCCUUAUGAAAAGAUAAAAAGGAAUUAACUUCUUAGGUCAGAGGGGAGGAAAAGGUGAUGUAAUAGAGGAUGAAUAAAAAAUGUACAGAGCAAAGUAUGUCAUUCUGGUGUACUCUUUAAAUAAUACAUAAUGUUGGGGUCAGUUAAAUUGAAGGGUGGAAAAAGCAUGAAAUUACAUAAACUGAAAGUAUGAAACAGUACCAUGAAGUUAGCCUUUGAAUCUUGCUGCUGCAAGCAUUGCUGUGAAAACAAGCGUUGCAGAUUUGAAAAGAGUCUGAUGGUACCACGAAACAAGGAAACAUCCAUCAUCAUUGCAAAAUGGGAUAAAAUUUCCAUGACAGCAUUCUUCAUGCAAAUUCCUUAGGUUAAGGAAUUAAGAAAGGUUAAGGUUAAGAAAACUGCCAGUGGAAGCCAGGUACCUCAAAGCAUUUCAAGAGCUGUGUGGCUUGGCAGUGGUUGGUAGAGCCUGUGCAAGGUCCCACAGACCAAAGCAAUAUUGUUCUGACAAGGAAACUGAUAGUCCUACACUUCUCAUUCCCCAAAGUGCCUGAUUUUAAUUCUUGUCCAGUCUUACAGGCCCUUGAUACUGUGUGUGAGAGCUGGAGAAGUGAUUUGGUCUGUGGUCAACUCUGCUUUCUGAGCUGCUGAGGAUCUGAGCCAUAUCUCUAUUUUCAGGCAGCAGAAUCUCACCCACAUUCAGUCCCUUAUUUUGUCCUGAAGCUUUAGAUUCAGACUGUGUUCACCACUUAAGUCAGUCAUGGCAGUUUUGACUCACUGGUUGUGACAGCAUAGCAUUUAUUCCUUAUGAAUAUCACAUUAAUGUCUGUGUUGAAAUCCAGAGACUUUAGAUUUGCUUUUUUUUUUUCCUUUUUUUUCUUUUUUUUCCCCCUCCCUCUCUCUUGAUGUUCUAAGACUUCCAGCUGGUCAGCUUUUCUUUAAAAACAACUUCAUUUGCCAGCAUUGUGAUGAGGAUUGCCCUUCCAAUCUGAAGGUACUGGGAUGUUGGGGAGGGAAGAAAAGGUGUUGAAGAGCAUAAUGUGCAAUUUUUAAGUGCUCCGUGCACGUUCCACAUUUGCCUAUUUCAUCUCUCCCUCCUCCCCCCUCCCUCCCCACUGCAGACUCACAUCUGUCCGCCCUCUGGCUCACCUCACCCACAGCCUCCCUUCCAGGAGGAGAAUGGUGAUUUCAUUUGGAGCACACCAGUCAGGGUGCUGCACAGGCACUACACACAGGGCUUCACUCCCUAAAACUUAUAUAGCUGCAGGGCCUAAAAAUCCAACUUUUUUUUUUUCCUUGUUAUUCAAGGCUUACUGUGUCAGGUAAAUUCCUGGCAAUAGGCACUUUGAUAAUGAAGAAUAAAUAUAUGCAAUUAAAAUAAAACCUGACUAUAUGUAAUAUAAUAUUUAAUAACUUAUCAAUAUCUGUGCAGGGAGUCAGCCCUAUGGUGGGCAUGUGUGGCAUGGUAGGCAUGUGUGGCAUGGUGGGCAUCCUGUGUCUGAUGUCCACACUGUCUCCUCCCUCAAGAUCUUGCUUUGUUGAGAUAUGUAUGAUACUAUGCAGGCAGGAGGUGGCUUGUGUCUGCUGUAUUACCUUUGUGAAAUUAUUUUUUCCUUCUAUUUCCCAAUACAAAACGUGGAAGUCUGUUAAUUUGUUUCACAGAUUCAUGGAGAGGCUACCAUAGUUACUUCCCUCUUCUCAUCAGUGACAGACAUGUAGCUUCCUCAGAACUGAAGGUGGAUGACUCUGAUCAAAUGUUUCUGGUUGUGCAACCUUUGGGGUGACUCUGUCAGUUCAGUGGGCAAACCUUUGAGUCUUUGUGUGGUGCCUUGUAGAGCCAGCUGACACUGUUCAGAGUUGUCGUCCUGAAAGCAGAUCUCCUGGGAGCCCUGCUGAAGUGCAGGCCUGAUUUCAUCAGCUGUAUGAAGUGGAAAUACGUAGGAUGUUCACCUUUCCUGAAAGCCAGGUUGCUAACAGCACGCAGAAAUACGUUCCUGAAAAGCUGACUGAGGUGGGAACUCUGUGGCAGUUGGCCCCUGUCCUGAUUAGCUCGUAUUGAACAUGAAUAUUUAAUAUUUAAGGGACAGAGACAGAGAGAUUGCAUCCCCAAACUUUUGUUUUUCUGUAUUACCUAACCAAUAUGAAAUUCAGUGCAUUAUCAGGAUCUGGGGAGUCAGCAGGAAAUUUUUGGAUUCUCUGAAAUUUUGGUCCAGUGCCACCUUUUCCUUGUGAUUAUGCCAAUUUAAGAGAAGACAAUCUCUCCCUUUCCUCCUUGGCCCACACCACAGCAGCUCCAAAUCCCUGAAAACCCUAGCCUCUUAGUCUUAAAACUGCAUGCUGGCUCUUUAAUGUGGCAUAUUUGUCUGAAAGCUACUUUACUGUCUGUGUGAUAUGGUGAAGUACAAGGAGCAGGAGUGAUUAAAACCGGCUGUUUUCCCUGAGAAGUUUUGCUGAGUUCUUUUCAUUUAGUGUUCUUUCAAUAAAGAAUGAGAAAACAGUGAAAUUGAUAAGACAGCAUAAGAAUAUUCUUCUACGUAUGGAAAUUACUGCAGCAGAAUGGAAUUUCAACAGUGUUAGGAAACCAGUUCUUAAGCCAGUGCGCAGAAUUCCCUCCAACAACCUUUUAUUAAAUUAGCCUGUUGAAUUCUGUCAGGUUUUUUCAUCCUUUGGUAAUGCCAUAGGGUUUUCUGAUUAAGGGAUGGAUCUGUUUUUGUUUUUUUCCACUCUCAAUACAGAUGAGGUAAACAAAAGCCGAAGCAUUGUGAUACUUGCUUUCCCCAUAGUGUUUUUCAGGCAAAUUCUAUUGAUAGAAGGGCCUGAUCAUUAACACCCUGCUGUGGUUCAAAACUCUCUGGAACAAAUCUUUUAGAAAGAAAAACAAGUCUGAUCAAAGCAUUUUGAAGGAAAUAUUUUAAGUGAGAGUGAUUACUUGAAUGCCUCCCUGAUCUUUUGACAGAUGAUGUUUUCUUCCUCUCUGCUGGUCUUGCAAGGACUUGGCUUUCCUAGUUGGCAAUGAGGGUCUUGUUGCUGGAGUGUGCAUUUGUAGAAAGGGGCUGUCUACUGUAUCUGAGCUACAAUCAUCCUGAUCCUUUUUAUUCCCAAACCAUAAAUGAAAUUCUGUGAA